UACGUAGGGUGCAAGCGUUGUCCGGAAUUAUUGGGCGUAAAGAGCUCGUAGGCGGUUUGUUGCGUCGGCUGUGAAAUCCCGAGGCUCAACCUCGGGUCUGCAGUCGAUACGAGCAAACUAGAGUGUUGCAGGGGAGACUGGAAUUCCUGGUGUAGCGGUGAAAUGCGCAGAUAUCAGGAGGAACACCGGUGGCGAAGGCGAGUCUCUGGGCAUCAACUGACGCUGAGGAGCGAAAGCGUGGGGAGCGAACAGG
rnacentral:rRNA from 1 species